rnacentral:rRNA from 1 species
UACGUAGGGUGCAAGCGUUGUCCGGAAUUAUUGGGCGUAAAGAGCUCGUAGGCGGUCUGUCGCGUCGGCUGUGAAAACCCGGGGCUCAACCCCGGGCCUGCAGUCGAUACGGGCAGACUAGAGUGCGGUAGGGGAGACUGGAAUUCCUGGUGUAGCGGUGAAAUGCGCAGAUAUCAGGAGGAACACCGGUGGCGAAGGCGGGUCUCUGGGCCGUAACUGACGCUGAGGAGCGAAAGCGUGGGGAGCGAUCCGG